CUUGGGAAAACUUGAUCAUGGGAGUAUUUUAUCUUCUGCGAUGCUGACAGGUGUCUUCAGGUUGAAGUACUCUUCUGAGCUCCUACCAACUGAGGAAGUGUAUGGGAUUAGAUAUAACCAGAUGUGUCAAAGACCUGAAAUUUCAAAGCAGGUGGAGUGACUGCCUUUUAAUAACACUGGAAGGAAUACAGAAGCACAAGUUACAGAUAUGUGAACGCAUUUAUUACAAAAUCUCUGUUCAGCAAAACCAACUUGUUUUCUUCAACAUUUUAUGCCCAAGAUCCUAUAACUUUUAUUAGCCCAUUAAUUUAAAUUAAAUGCUAUCAAACAUUAA